GUAGGUAUAGUUUAACCAAAACAUUAGAUUGUGGGUCUAAAAAUAGGGGUUAAACCCCCCUUACCCACC
rnacentral:tRNA from 1 species